rnacentral:lncRNA from 1 species
GUAAAGAAAAGUAAUUUUGUUUUAAUUAAUGAAUAGAUAGGACAUAAAUGCUUUGUAAGAAACUUUUGAGAUUAAUAAGUUACAUUAGACAAUAAUAAUGAACAAAGAUAAUUAAAUGAGUAAAUUAUAAGGUGAAGUUCAAAUUCCUUUUACUUAAUGGGCAAACAUUGAUUUGCAAAAUCCUUUUGUAUAAGUGAAUACUGAGCAGAGGUUAAAAAAAAAAGCCAUACAAAAAAAAAGGAAUGAUUGAAAAUAUAAGUAAAUAAAAAAAUAAAUAAAAUGAAUAAAUGUGUUGCGAACAAAGAAAAACAAGGAAGGCAAAUAAUUGUUACAGUAAUGGUCGUUGAUAAAUAAUGAAAGUACAAAGCUAGAUUCGUACAUGAAAAUAUAAAUGCAACAUUGAAGAAUUGAAAAUGUAAUAUUAUUUGGAAGUUAAAGUUCAGGAGGUUAAUAUUCAUUAAACUGUGAAGGAUUAAAAGAAAUGCCUCUGUUUAGAUGAGAACCAUAAAAUAAUGCCUCAAAUUUUAACUUACAAAAGAUAAGCGUACAUAAAUUAAACAUCUGAUAGAAAAUUUGAAUAAAUGUGAAAGUUUGGCAUUGUGUGCUGCAGCGGUUAUUUUAAUUUUAAGUUGAAAUUGAUAUGUAAAUUUCCCUUUAAGAGAAAUAAAGGUUGUUUGAGUCGUAAGAAUUUUUGGGUAUUCAUGACACCCUUAAAAUUAGUGCUAUGUAUGGAUUCGCCAUCCAUAUAAAAACGUGACUUAAGCUAACAUGAAUAAUUUUUAAAGAUUAAUUUUGAUAUAAAUUGAAAAACUUAAUAGGUAAUCAAAAUGUUGUAGAGUAUAAUUAUACACUUUGUUUAAAACUUGUCUAAAAUAAGAACUAAAGCAGUUAAGAAGUAGUUGAUAAAAAAAGUAUUUAAGUCAUGUACUUUGAGGGUAUGACUCACGAUAGAAUUUGGAGUCGGAGCAAACUACCAAAGAAAACGGGCAUACGCCGAAAAAUGGGUAUGACACCGAGGUAGAUUUGGAGUUCGAGCAAACUAUCAAGAAUGUGGGCUUAUCACCUAGUAAUUUGAUUAAAUACAUAGAGGAUAAAAACUGCUUAAACAUAAAAAAUAAAAAUAAACGUAGAACGACAUUAUGCCUGUUAAAUAAACCAACACAGCAGUUGAAAGAAAAAAAAAUAGAAUCUUUCUUCAAAAUAAAAAGCUUUGAAAAAUCUUGUCCUUUGAAAAGCGUUUUAAAAUAUAAGUAGUUAGAUCGUCAUUUACUUAAAACAAUAAAGUUUAACUUAAUGAAAAAUUGAUAAUGCUAAAUAAACUGACAAAUAAAAUUGCGGGAGCAAUUUUUUUCGAACAACAGGG